CUUCGAACCCACGCGCACGGAAGCGCGCCCGCUCAUUUACACAAACUGGAGGAAGGAACUAAAAAUAGUAGGCCUAUGAUGUGAUGCUGCGUGUGGUUUCCCCCCCCCCCUCCCCCGUGGGUUUAUAUCUGUGUGUGUGUGUGUGAUUGUCAGAGUGACGAGAGAGGGAGAGCAAGAGGACGCAAAGCGAAAGGGAGGCUCUGCUCGUGUCUGCUGCACAGUCAGUGAUAAACACAAAGUGACAGGCGUGGCAAAGAUGGACUUACCCCUGGAAGGGUCUUCUGCUCGUGCAAUGCAUUCUGGGCUUUCAGGGCCGACUCCCUGGCACAGUAGACUACCCACAAUCCUCGGGUUUGUCGUCACCUGGGCCGACGUGAAGAUGGAGACGCGGGAGGUGAGGCAGAAGAAGAAGCCGCGGGGGGGGAAAGGCGGAAGGCUCUCCCUCGCCAUCCCAUCAUGACAGCGAGGAGCAUGCUAAUAUCGGCGGGCUGACAGGCUGUCAAUCUCCACAUC